UGAUUUUUAGCUCACCUGACCUGAAAGGUCAAGUGAGCUUUUCUCAUCACUUUGCGUCCGUCGUCCGUCGUCCGUCGUCCGUAAACUUUUACAAAAAUCUUCUCCUCUGAAACUACUGGGUCAAAUUUAACCAAACUUGGUCACAAUCAUCAUUGGGGUAUCUAGUUUUAAAAAUGUGUCCGGUGAUCCGGUCAACCAACCAAGAUGGCCGCCAUGGCUAAAAAUAGAACAUAGGGGUAAAAUGUAGAUUUUGGCUUAUAUCUCUGAAACCAAAGCAUUUAGAGCAAAUCUGACAUGGGGUAAAAUUGUUUAUCAGGUCAAGAUCUAUCUGCCCUGAAAUUUUCAGACCAAUCAGGCAAAUCGUUGUUUGGUUGCUGCCCCUGAAUUGGUAAUUUUAAUGAAAUUUGUCGUUUUUGGUUAUUAUCUUGAAUAUUAUUAUAUAUAGAGAUAAACUGUAAACAGCAAUAAUGUUCAGCAAAGUAAGAUCUACAAUUAAGUCAACUUGACCAAAAUGGUCAGUUGACCCCUUAAGGAGUUAUUGCCCUUUGUAGUCAAUUUUUAACCAUUUUUCGUAAAUUUUUGUAAUCUUUUACAAAAAUCUUCUCCUCUGAAACUACUAAGACAAAUUUAACCAAACUUUUACACAAUCAUCAUUAGGGUAUAAAGUUUAAAAAAUGUGUCCGAUGACCCCGCCCGCGAACCAAGAUGGCCGACAUGGCUAAAAAUAGAACAUAGGGGUAAAAUGUAGAUUUUGGCUUAUAUCUCUGAAACCAAAGCAUUUAGAGUAAAUCUGACAUUGGGUAAAACUGAUUAUCAGGUCAAGAUCUAUCUGCCCUGAAAUUUUCAGACCAAUCAGGCAACACGUUGUUGGGUUGCUGCCCCUGAAUUGGUAAUUUUAAGAAAAUUUUGCAGCUUUUGGUUAUUAUCUUGAAUAUUAUUAUAGAUAGAGAUAAACUGUAAACAGCAAUAAUGUACAGUAAAGUAAGAUCUACAAAUAAGUCAACAUGACCAAAAUUGUCAAUUGACCCCUUAAGGAGUUAUUGCCCUUUAUAGUCAAUUUUUUACAAUUUUUUCAUAAAUUUUGUAAAUUUUUGUAAAUUUUUACAAAAUAUUUUCCACUAUAACUACUGGGCCAAGUUCAUUAUAGAUAGAGAUAAUUGUAAGCAGCAAGAAUGUUCAGUAAAGUAAGAUCUACAAACACAUCACCAUCACCAAAACACAAUUUUGUCAUGAAUCCAUCUUUGUCCUUUGUUUAAUAUGCACAUAUACCAAGGUGAGCGACACAGGCUCUUUAGAGCCUCUAGUUAUUUUCUUUCCCAUCAUUGAUCUAUUUGCGAAGAAUGGAAAUUGAUAAAAAAAAAAGAAAA